rnacentral:rRNA from 1 species
GACGAAGGGGGCUAGCGUUGUUCGGAAUUACUGGGCGUAAAGCGCGUGUAGGCGGUUGUUCAAGUCAGGUGUGAAAGCCUUGAGCUCAACUCAAGAAAUGCACUUGAUACUGGAUGACUAGAGGACCGGAGAGGAUAGUGGAAUUCCCAGUGUAGUGGUGAAAUACGUAGAGAUUGGGAAGAACACCAGUGGCGAAGGCGGCUAUCUGGACGGUUUCUGACGCUAAGACGCGAAAGCGUGGGGAGCAAACGGG